AACAAGAAACUUGACCAAAAUGAAUCGUAAAUAGGUCAAUAACGUCAGUGUUAUGGUGUUUGGUAAAAAUAUAAUUUAAUCAAACGAGUCGUAAAGAGAUCAAAGUCAAGGAUGACUUGAUAGUACAAAUAAAUUUGUUCAGGGCUGAACUGAUAAAGCAAAUUGGGUCAAAACUUUAGUAAUUAGGAAUUCAACCAUUCACUAUUUACAGAUCUGUUCCAACAACUCAUUCGAUAUUUUCAAAUCGAAGACGGGAAAAUCAGCAAGUGUCUCAAAGAAAAAUUAGCAAGGGCCGCUGCCUCUCCGGAGAGGAUUACUUAUUGAAGAUGAAUAUUUUAUGUCGUUGACAUAGGAAUGAUUUUUGAACUGGCUAACACAAUAAUCAUGAAGGUUAUCCAGAUAUGCAUCCAGUGGGGUCCAAGGACUAAUGGAUGAUUUAGAACCCAAGUUCUAAAAUACACAAAGUGGAAACGGUCCAUUUACCGCAACUGAGGGACGCGACAAGGUUCCUCGAUCCGAAAGCAAAAGCUAAGCUUUUAUUAACCAGGAGGAUUAAUUAGGACCCUAGAACAUUAUUUAAUUUUUUGUUUUUUCAUUCUUCCAUGGUUAUUUCAACUUCGUCAUGUAUAAAUUAUAUCGAAAAGUUCUUGUCAAGAUAGAAAUAUAUUUUUCAAAU